rnacentral:rRNA from 1 species
UACGAAGGGGGCUAGCGUUGCUCGGAAUCACUGGGCGUAAAGCGCACGUAGGCGGAUUGUUAAGUCAGGGGUGAAAUCCUGGAGCUCAACUCCAGAACUGCCUUUGAUACUGGCGAUCUCGAGUCCGGGAGAGGUGAGUGGAACUGCGAGUGUAGAGGUGAAAUUCGUAGAUAUUCGGAAGAACACCAGUGGCGAAGGCGGCUCACUGGCCCGGUACUGACGCUGAGGUGCGAAAGCGUGGGGAGCAAACAGG